rnacentral:lncRNA from 1 species
UGUCAUGUAACCUUUAGUAUUCAAACCAAAGCAAUCUGGAGCAGUCUACUUGGACAGAUUUCCUAGAAUCACACCUUGCCCUCAGCUCCUGUCACUGGACUAUAGGACUGUGGAUAUGUUGUCCGGACUACUGCCAUUUCUCCUUCUGGAGGUGAGAUCUGGGAACACCAAUCAGAAAAAGCAGGAAGAUCAUUCUUCAGGGAGCUUGUGUGCCUGCCUGAAAAGUUGGCUAGACAUUCAUCAAUUGACAGGUACACUAUUUCCUCUGUGAAAAAGUAGCCCAUAAAUGCAAUAAAUCUUUUCUUAAUGCAGUGACAAAGGGUUGAGAAUGAACUUCAGUUUUCAGUCUUUGAAACAAAAGAAAAGUUCACGGAAUUCCAUGUGGUCUAAGGGGAAGGAGUAGCGGUCAGGCAGGAGGCAAGGAGACAUUUGUUGGGAAUGUUUUUUCUCACUUGUCUGAGAGAUUUUCCAGAAUUUGGUCUUUAUCUCAUGCCCUGAACAUCCAAAUGCACAAGUAUAAACUGGAAAUGCCG